rnacentral:rRNA from 1 species
UACGGGAGGCAGCAGUGGGGAAUAUUGCACAAUGGGCGAAAGCCUGAUGCAGCUAUGCCGCGUGUAUGAAGAAGGCCUUAGGGUUGUAAAGUACUUUCAUCGGGGAGGAAAAAACAAAACUAAUAAUUUUAUUUCUUGACGUUACCCGAAAAAGAAGCACCGGCUAACUCCGUGCCAGCAGCCGCGGUAAUACGGAGGGUGCUAGCGUUAAUCAGAAUUACUGGGCGUAAAGAGCACGUAGGUGGUUUUUUUAAAGUCAGAUGUGAAAUCCCUGGGCUUAACCUAGGAACUGCAUUUUGAAACUGAAAUACUAGAGUAUCGUAGAGGGAGGUAGAAUUCUAGGUGUAGCGGUGAAAUGCGUAGAUAUCUGGAGGAUACCUGUGGCGAAAGCGGCCUCCUAAACGAAUACUGACACUGAGGGUGCGAAAGCGUGGGGAGCAAACAGGGAUUAGAUACC